UUUAAUUGAUUAUAUAUAAAUUAAUAAGAUAAGUUGAUUCUGUAUAACUGGAUUCAAAAGUUUCAUCCAUCUCUAAACUUAUUAGUUAAUUUCACAAUAAAACCCAGAGAAAUAGAAAAAGGUGAAAUAAAAAAACAAAAAUGCUUUAAAUCAUCAUGGGGACCGCAGAUCCACAUCCGACGCCUUCUCUGCAUGCCACGUGCCCAUGUCCACCUCCACUAGUUUUUGCUAUUGGCUCGUUCUUGCAAUCUCUCUCAUCGCAACAAUGGGUCUGUUGCAGGAUCUGGAUCCUUAAGAGAAGUCGCCUUUGGUGGUCUUCCUGAGCUUCCAUCGAGUAGCCGCCUCCCCGCACUGUUUCGACUGCGAGCUCCCAUCGAGUUACCGUCUCCCCGCUGCUCCGACUCCCGCCAUCGGCUAGCACGCCGACGAGCUUCCUUGGCGAGAUGCAAGUUGUUGCAAGGCAUGCAAGUCACUGGCGCUCCUCCCGAGCUCAUGUCGAGUUGUUGCCACCCCGCGUUGCUCCGCCCACCCUGAGUUCCUGUCGAGUCACCACCUCCCCAUGCUGCUCCGAGUGCCCCGAGUUUCUGUCGAGUCUCCGCCUCCCCACGCUGCUUGUCGCCACUGGCUCUCGCCGUUGACUAGCGCGCCAAUGAGCUUCUCUGUUGCAAGGUGUGUAAGCCGUUGGCACUUUCGGGUCGGCAAGCACGCCGACAAAAGCUUCUCUGGCGAGUUUCUCCAUUGAGCUGCACACAACUGUCACUAGAAUGCUCUCUGUUACAUGUCCGAUGCUGCAAAAGGUUUUUUGUAACAUUAGCUUGUAACAUGAGUUUUGUUGCAAAAAUUACUGUUGUAAAUGAUCAAGAAAAAUAAACACUUCGAGAUGAUUGCAACAAUGAUCCUGUUGCAGAGGGCCUUCUGGAACACCACUUCUGUUACAAAAGGGUGGCUGCUUACGUGAGUAGAUCCAACAGCCAUUAGCAGGCAGCAGAUCUUUUCUCAUUAUCCGCCCGCCGCCCAAUAAAAAAAGGAAAGAAAGAAUUAAACAAGAAAAUAAACUGCCGUACUUGUGCCGGCCCAUGAGUGCGCGCGUUAGCAGCCCGAGUGUACCGCUCGCAGCGGGCGCCACAUAGCAGCUCCCCUCUACGAGACUACGACCCCCUAAAGAAGGCCUCUAGAAAUCAAGCCGACGCCAUCGUUCUGCCUCUGCAAUCCGCCACAGAGAACACCGGAACCCUCAGGAAGCUUCGAGAAGCCGCCCGCGCGGAGCCCCCAUGGAGAAGGAGAAGCAGAAGCAGGGGGCCGACGGCGCCCUCCUCCUCGCGCUGCGCUGCUCCAGGGCGUCUCUCGUCCUCUCCUCUCUCCGCCAGCCACCCCCCUCGACGGCGACGACCCGCCGGACCUCAUCCUCAGCGGUAACCCGGAACCCCACGCCUCCUCCGCUUCCCCGUAGCAUGUGCGAUGCUUAGCUCCGACGCGUCUGUCUUACCGUCGCGCUUUCUCUCGUCCCAGGAGUUCGAGCUGCGGAACGCGCGCCUCCUCGACGCCGAGCUCGCGGCGGCGCGGCGCGCGGCUGCCAGAAGCGCGCGGAUAUCCGCCGCUGAGAUUCUCUUCGUCGUUGCUCUGGUCCCCCUCCUCAUGCUCUUCGUUGCGCUUCUCGCGAGCGCUGCCGCGGAAGCGGUCGCUUGACCCGCGUCGACGACGUCAUGAGAUUCUGCGGCGACCGAACCCAAAGCCUCUGUGUUAAUUCCCCCCUUCCGGGCUCCGUAAGUUGACUCUGUUGUUCUUCAGCUGAGAAAGGAAGCUACGAUUGUGGUGCGGGCCUGUUUGGUGUUUUCGGUCUGCACGGUAGGUGUUCGAUCAAAUGCAUGUUCCUUUGUAGAUGUGUGCACAGAGUAAGGCUAAGGUUGUAGUGAUAAUUAGGAGAUCGGAAGAAAUCAUAGUGUGACAAAUGGUGCCCAUUCAUUGGGUUGCAUUUAUUUACUGUUUUCUGAUCCAAUUAUGCUGAAGGAAUGGUAGAUGCAGGGAUAUGCCUUGCAGUGUUACUGCUUGUGUGCCAUGAUCCAUAGAUUGUGAAAAGGGCACUGGCGAUGAAAUCUCGCGAUGGGUGUUAUGUCAGGUUGCUAGUCUAUGACUAUUCUUUCAAGUGAAAAAUAAAUGCAUUUGAGCUUAGUACAUUGUGCAUCGCAUUGUAGGCAGCAUCCUCAUCAGGAUCAUGCAUUGCUUUGUUUCUCCUCACUCCUUAGUAUGGGCAAGGGUGGCGUUUGUCAUGCAUCCUCAUUAGGAUCAUGCAUUGAGCUUAGACUUUUCGCUUAUUUUACUUUGAGAAGCUGAUAGAAACAUAGAGAUGUAAAAUUAUAGAUGAACUUGUGGUCGAUGUGCACGAUGCAAAAGCUCAUUUGGCAUUGUCUUUUAGUGAACUACUUGCCCCCUGCAAAUUACUUGUUAUUUAACUGUGUAAACUUAUCAGAUAUUUAGCAUUGUAUCAAAAUACAGACCCAAUAUUACAUCUACUGUAAAUAUUUUUGUUGAAAUUAUUUUGAUUUAGAGUUUUAAGUUGUUGGCAAAAGAAAUGAAGGCAUUGUAAUACAUGGCCCGCCAUACAAAACUACAGGGUUCCAUAUCAAUAAUAAAGAAAAACAUAUUUCUAUCUUCCACUUCUCAUGCAUUGCAACUUCAUUUUUUACCAACAAUUUUGACAAAUUUUCAACAAGAAUCAAAUAUGGACGUUGAUGUUUUGUACAUAAAUCAUGCAUUCUGUCUUAGCAUAAUAGUGUCCCUCAAUUUGUGCAAUGUCAUGCCUAGAGGUGAUUCCACGGUUGAUCCUAUUUUUCCGCUUGCUCCUUUUUCUCUAGUUAUUAAGUAUUUAUGUAGUUUAGCCAUGUAAGCUAAUGCAAUUAUCCGUGUAUAUUUACUUAGAAUUACUAAAGCUUCCUCGCAAACGCUAAAUUUGGCAGUGAUGUGAAUUAUGAUAAUCUGGUAUUCUCAACCAGCAUUUGUCUACUUUCCGUAUGACUAAUCAACAUUGUCCUGCUUUCGAGGCUAUUUGCUUACAGUAGAUCAUAAUACAAGUUCAACACGAUGCAAUGUAGCAACACUAAACCAAGCCUAAGGUGAUGGCUGAAUGUUUUCGAAAUUAGUGUUUUCGUUGUCGAUUGUGUAAUGCCUUCAACCUACUAGUUUGUUUAUUUAUUGAUCUAGUAGUUUUUAUACAGCUCCACUAUGCUAUGCAACACUGGAUGAUAAUUAAAAUAUAAUAUCAUGAAUUUCUUACUGCUGAUGCAAUUGCAUCGACCAACCAAACCUUGCUUCUUAUUACCGUACGCAUAUACAUGUCGAUUACUAAUUCCGGGUUUUAGACACUUGUGCCACUGCAUGUGCUAGCAUCACUUACUGACGGUCGGAAUUUUUUGUUGUUGCCACUCUAGCUCUUGUCCAUUUUCCCUAUACCACUCUUAAAUUUCAAACCUUGCUUCUUAUUACCGUACGCAUAUACAUGUCGAUUACUAAUUCCGGGUUUUAGACACUUGUGCCACUGCAUGUGCUAGCAUCACUUACUGACGGUCGGAAUUUUUUGUUGUUGCCACUCUAGCUCUUGUCCAUUUUCCCUAUACCACUCUUAAAUUUGACAUUUCACUGUUGCCACUCUAGCUUUUAACAAUGCUUCACAGUCUGCCACUCUGUAUAGUCAAUGCUCCUUUUUGACCAAACGGAGUAGGGAAAAGACCAUCUCGCACUCAGUUUUUUCUUUUUCUUUUGCCACUCCAGUUUUCGUCAUUUUGAUCUUGCCAUUGGAGCAACUUCUGAAUGAAUUUAUUAGUCCUAAUUCAGUCUCCGAUUUUGGCAUGGCAUAUUCAGAAAUAUAACAUCACACAUAAUUACAUUAUUUUUCCUUUUGUAUGGUUGUGACUUAACUUGAUGCUGUAUUUUUUCUUAAUAUGCAGUAUGCAAUAUGCAUAGCCUGGUGAAAGAAAUACCCUUAUGAAACCGUGAUACCUGAAACUGGGCGAAG
rnacentral:lncRNA from 1 species